CAUAACAAUAAUUGUUAAUUCAACCUUGAUUAUCUAAUUAAUAACCGAAUUUAACCCAUGUGUUUUAAAUUCAGUGUUUGUGUGAAAAAAUGAAAGUUUACUCGAACAGGAGGAAGUGAUUGUGAUCAGCAUCAACGAAGUGAAAAACAAAACUACCGCCGAAGCUGUUCAUCCAAUCAAAUCAAGUAUCAUUUAUCAGCGAAUUGAAUCUAAGGAGAUAAUUUCUGUGUAAAAAUAGGCUUUACCAGGUACAUAGUAGAGUCUACAAACACAAUAAUCAAUGCAAAACUAGUUUUUGCUAUAAGUUUAUUUACAAUGUUGAUCAAUGGACUUCCAGAUGAUGGUUUGCAUGCCAUUUUGAAUGAAUUUGAUGAUUUAAUACUUCUAUGAAGGCAAGGGACCCUCCUGGUACGAUUUGAUUUGGGAAAUUUCAUGAUGAAUCGAUGGAAAUAAGACAAAAAAGAUGUUUGGUAAAGUGUUGCGCCUGUAAAUUUUUGCUUCAAUUUUUAUUCCAAUUUCGAGUGUAACCAGACCUAUUGUAAUGAACUGAAAAUCUGAAAAAUUGCCAUUCUCAAGUUGAGACUAACAUUCAUUUAGUUUGCCUCUUUGUGCAAUGUUUUUGUUGCUAUCAUUUUCAGCUCAUUACAAUAGGUUUGGUUACACUCGAAAUUGGAAUAUUGAAGAUAGAAGGUAUCGUUUUAUUUGUCAGAAAUCAUGGAUUUUUGCAAGGAUCAAUCAAUUCAUCUAACACACGAAUAGACAAAUAUUGUGAUAAACUCAAAAUGAUAUCCUCCGGUCGUAUUGAGCCAAGCAUUCCACGAAAUCAUUGCAGCUUAAAACAAUUUCACACUUUCAAUUAUUAUCAACAUUUCAAAAGAGAUACUCAUUAUUUCCUGAAUCUUGAAAGACUUAAUAUUUAUAUUAAUGGUGAUUGUAUAAAUAUUUUCAUGAGAAAUGUUUCCUUAUGAAAAUCUAUCGUUCAUAUCCAGGUGGUUACUACGUUGAUCCAGUAUUGGAAAAGCUUAAAAUUGUUGAACUGUGCUCAUUAUAUUCUCACGGUGUUUGUUAUGCCUUCCAAUUCAUGGAUUCAUGUCUAAAUUUACAAAGUGCAUUAUUUUCACGCCUACUAAUCGCUUUUCUGUUGAUGAAACAUUGAAACACGAAUGUCUGCAAGAUUUGGCUAUGUCUUCAAGUCUGGUGGUCCUUCCUGUCUGGACUGGAAUGAUUUAAAAAGAUUUUUUAUGAAAUAUCCGAACAUCAAACAUCUUUCGCUGAGGAACGUACGUUACAUAAAAGAUGAACAUAGCGAGUAAUUGGUUCAAAUCUUAGCCAAUGCAGUAAUACAAAUGUCAAUGUAAAUUUAAUGCUUCAAUCGCUAACUAUUAGUACUCUCUCAAAGUUUGCCAAAAAUCAAAUGUACAUCACCAAUAUUU